GACGAACGCUGGCGGCGUGCUUAACACAUGCAAGUCGAACGGUGAAGCCCUUCGGGGUGGAUCAGUGGCGAACGGGUGAGUAACACGUGAGCAACCUGCCCCUGGCUCUGGGACAACCACUGGAAACGGUGGCUAAUACCGGAUACGACCCGCCUCGGCAUCGAGUGUGGGUGGAAAGUUUUUCGGCUGGGGAUGGGCUCGCGGCCUAUCAGCUUGUUGGUGAGGUGAAGGCUCACCAAGGCGACGACGGGUAGCCGGCCUGAGAGGGCGACCGGCCACACUGGGACUGAGACACGGCCCAGACUCCUACGGGAGGCAGCAGUUGGGAAUAUUGCACAAUGGGCGAAAGCCUGAUGCAGCGACGCCGCGUGAGGGAUGACGGCCUUCGGGUUGUAAACCUCUUUCAGCUCCGAAGAAGCGAAAGUGACGGUAGGAGCAGAAGAAGCACCGGCUAACUACGUG
rnacentral:rRNA from 1 species